rnacentral:rRNA from 1 species
CCUACGGGUGGCAGCAGUGAGGAAUAUUGGUCAAUGGACGAGAGUCUGAACCAGCCAAGUAGCGUGAAGGAUGACUGCCCUAUGGGUUGUAAACUUCUUUUAUAUGGGAAUAAAACGUUCCACGUGUGGGAUUUUGUAUGUACCAUAUGAAUAAGGAUCGGCGAACUCCGUGCCAGCAGCCGCGGUAAUACGGAGGAUCCGAGCGUUAUCCGGAUUUAUUGGGUUUAAAGGGAGCGUAGGUGGAUUGUUAAGUCAGUUGUGAAAGUUUGCGGCUCAACCGUAAAAUUGCAGUUGAAACUGGCAGUCUUGAGUACAGUAGAGGUGAGCGGAAUUCGUGGUGUAGCGGUGAAAUGCUUAGAUAUCACGAAGAACUCCGAUUGCGAAGGCAGUUCACUGGACUGCAACUGACACUGAGGCUCGAAAGUGUGGGUAUCAAACAGGAUUAGAUACCCCUGUAGUC